GAUGAAGAACGCAGCGAAAUGCGAUAAGUAGUGUGAAUUGCAGAAUUCAGUGAAUCAUCGAAUCUUUGAACGCACAUUGCGCCCUUUGGUAUUCCAAAGGGCAUGCCUGUUCGAGCGUCAUUUGUACCCUCAAGCUUUGCUUGGUGUUGGGCGUCUUGUCUCUAGCUUUGCUGGAGACUCGCCUUAAAGUAAUUGGCAGCCGGCCUACUGGUUUCGGAGCGCAGCACAAGUCGCACUCUCUAUCAGCAAAGGUCUAGCAUCCAUUAAGCCUUUUUUCAACUUUUGACCUCGGAUCAGGUAGGGAUACCCGCUGAACUUAAGCAUAUCAAUAAGCG
rnacentral:rRNA from 1 species